rnacentral:lncRNA from 10 species
CUGGGACAGGGAGAGGGGAGGGGCAGAGAAGACCUAGCUCAGGAAGUGGGGAAGCAGUGCACCUAACUGCACUCACAUUCCAUCACCCAGGACUCUGCACCUGGGCCACGCCUAACUGCAGGAGAGCCUGAAGGGGAAAUAAUUUCAUUAUCAGUUCAAAGGCAGUUCCAAACUUAUGAAGGUAUUCCUCUCUUAAGGCAGUUGUUAAGGAUUUGGAAAGCACUUUUAUUCCUAGCUCCACUGUAGUGCUGAGGUCUUUACGCCAGCACACAGGACCCUAUAAACCCAUAAGGAUCACACCUGAGGCCAUCUCUGUCUUUGGCCCAAAUCACGCUCUCUUCUUCUGCAUAGGCACAUCCCGACCUGCAGGACUCCCCCAGGUCACCAAGUCACCACCAGCAUCUGGACCUUCGAAUCAGCAGCAUUGAAACAAGUCAUGACAAAAGAACUCCAGGAAACUUGAAUGCAGCGCUUUCUUUAAGCCCUAAACACCUGGGACAGUCUUCUGUACAUCAUAGGCGGUAGGCAUGAUCCCUGUGCACCUUCUGAGCACAAUCUGAGCACUUGGAGAGAAGAGGCAAAAGGGAUGUCAAAAAUAAUUUUAAAAACAAGCCAAGGAUCUACAGUGUGGACUUCCAAAUCCCCUUGGCAACGGCAGCUAAGAAGAGCUCUGUAGUGGAUGUAAAUAAUUUAGUCUCCAAGUGGACUGAGUUUUUGACUUAAGUUUGAAAAAAAUGUCUGUGAAUCACUCUGAAACUACACAGGGAGAGCAAAAGUUCCCUAUGGAUCUUUUUGAAGGAUGUUUUUCAAAGGCAUUCAGUGUGGUUACAAGUUUACAGAGAGGUCUGCUUCAGAAGAGAAAGUCGCGGGAGUCUCUAUGUCUAAAGUCAUUUCUAAUGAAGAUAUAUGAUUCCUGCAGCCGGUUACUCUCAAUGAGAGACUUUGCAGUGCCCUAUGACAUACCCUGGGUGAGCUCAGACAUAAAUGCAGCAAAAAAGACAAAGUAGCAGCCAGCUGCCUGAUGUUUUCUGCUAAUUCAACUGGGAUCCUGCAUUACUGGGAAGAAGAGAACAGGGAAGAGGUGACUUUCUCGGUGUGUCCUGUGGGGUGACACUGUCUUGCUGCACACAGAUGCCAGUCUGGACCAUGUGGCUGGAGCACUUCCCCCCUGGCAUCCCUCCAACCCAGUUCUCUCUCGGUACUGGGUCAUCACACUUCCUUUUGAAUAGCCCCAGCCCGCCAUGGCAUGACAGAGACUUGGGGGCUGCAUUAACAUUCUCCAACAGAGAUCUUCAUCGAGAGGCACUGAGCACGCAGACACAGAGAGGGAAAAUCAUCCCACAAAGAUCAUCAUUGGGCUAAACGAAACUACCAGCCAACAGCAAAGCAGAAUCACUGGGUGAAUAAGUAACAAACUGAUACUAAUCAAAUGUGAAAAACUUAUGCCUGAGGGCUAAGCGGGACCUAGGUGAAUGCCUGAGCUCUCAGAUAUGAGAACAGGGGGCUACAAAUGGGAAACAUGUAACUCACGGAGCCUGCGGAUGACAAGCUGGUAAACUCAUUAAACCUGGGUCUUCACAGAGCAGUGUGGGAAGGUCCAGGCACUCACAGCUGUAAAGAAAUCACACACCGAGGACUGUUGUGGGGUGGGGGGAGGUGGGA